GAUGAACGCUGGCGGCGUGCCUAAUACAUGCAAGUCGAGCGAACGGACGAGAAGCUUGCUUCUCUGAUGUUAGCGGCGGACGGGUGAGUAACACGUGGAUAACCUACCUAUAAGACUGGGAUAACUUCGGGAAACCGGAUCUAAUACCGGAUAAUAUUUUGAACCGCAUGGUUCAAAAGUGAAAGACGGUCUUUCUGUCACUUAUAGAUGGUUCCGCGCUGCAUUAGCUAGUUGGUAAGGUAACGGCUUACCAAGGCAACGAUGCAUAGCCGACCUGAGAGGGUGAUCGGCCACACUGGAACGGAGACACGGUCCAGAGUCCUACGGGAGGCAGCAGUAGGGAAUCUUCCGCAAUGGGCGAAAGCCUGACGGAGCAACGCCGCGUGAGUGAUGAAGGUCUUCGGAUCGUAAAACUCUGUUAUUAGGGAAGAACAUAUGUGUAAGUAACUGUGCACAUCUUGACGGUACCUAAUCAGAAAGCCACGGCUAACUACGUG
rnacentral:rRNA from 1 species